CGGUGCGUGAGUCCGGCCCCCACGAGCUCCCGAGCGGUCGUGGGCUCACACCCGGCUUCUCUUCAGCCUUAACCUGUGCGCCGCCAUCGCCGUCAUGCUAGGCGCCGCUGUCCGCCGCUGCUCUGUAGCUGCAGCCGCAGUCGCCCGGGCCAGCCCUCGAGGCCUCCUGCACCCCACUGCGGCCCCCGGUCCCGCCGCCGCUGUCCACUCACUUCGCUGCUACUCCCAUGGGUCACAUGAGACAGACGAGGAGUUUGAUGCUCGCUGGGUGACAUACUUCAAUAAGCCAGAUAUUGAUGCUUGGGAGUUGCGUAAAGGGAUGAACACACUUGUUGGCUAUGACCUGGUUCCAGAACCCAAAAUCAUUGAUGCUGCUUUGCGGGCAUGCAGACGUUUAAAUGAUUUUGCUAGUGCAGUUCGCAUCCUAGAGGUUGUUAAGGACAAAGCAGGACCUCAUAAGGAAAUCUACCCCUAUGUCAUCCAGGAACUUAGACCAACUUUGAAUGAACUGGGAAUCUCCACUCCAGAGGAACUGGGCCUUGACAAAGUGUAAACCCCAUGGGUAAGGUAUACCUGAAUAAGGAGAGAAAGGAUCCAGGGAGGGAUGGGCUUCCCAAGGACUUACUGAUAAUGCUACUUGAUUGUAAACAGUCACCUGGAAAUACUGAUGAUAACAUAUUACCUUAUUCGAACAAGUUUUCCUUUGUUGAGUACCAAACCAUGUAAUGUAACUUGGACUUUAAUAAAAGGGAAAUGAGUUUGAACUGAAA